AUGCACUCUCAUGAAAAGGAUGGAGGUAAUCCAAAACCAAAGGCAAUGAGGCAAGAGUUCUGGAAUUGUUUGGGAGACUUUAGCUUACAAGAUUUGGUAUAUAUUGGCGACAUUUUCAACUUGAGGAGAGGGGAUAUUAGGGAAAUACUUCAUAGGGUUGUAUGUAAUGUGGAAUGGUCAAAUAAAUUCCCCAAAGCGACCAUUAUCAAUGAGGAACAUAGGCAUUUAGACCAUCGUCCCUUGAUCCUUGACACAAAAUAUUUUGAUGGGAAUAUUUUUAAUUGCCCAAAAGGCCGUAUGAAGCAAUUUGAAGUGAGAUGGCUCAAAGAAGAGACUGUUGGGGAAAUUGUGCGCAUGACAUGGGAAAAUGCUAAAUCAGUGGACAUUGGUCCUUUUCUUGCUACACGUACAUGA
rnacentral:rRNA from 1 species